rnacentral:rRNA from 1 species
GACGAGGGGUCCAAGCGUUGUUCGGAAUUAUUGGGCGUAAAGCGGGUGUAGGUGGCUCUAUAAGUCAGGAGUGAAAUCCCCAAGCUUAACUUGGGAAGUGCUUUUGAUACUGCAGAGCUUGAAUGUGGGAGAGGUUAAUAGAAUUCCAGGUGUAGUGGUGAAAUACGUAGAUAUCUGGAGGAAUACCGGAGGCGAAGGCGGCUCUCUGGGACGGUACUGACGCUGAGACGCGAAAGCGUGGGGAGCGAACAGG